UGUAUACAUUCGUGCCUCACGAUAUGAAAAAAUGCAGAAUUCUCUCAUUUGUAUUUUUUACUUUUCAUCCAUACCUCAAAAUAUUUAUAGUCCUUUUUUACCCUUGCUACACCAUUCAAACUCUAUCAGUGUUGCAGCCCACUGUCUUAUGCUCCGACGACCGCCCACAUCUUCUACUUAUACUCCGACGACCACCGAUGACUGCCGCAAUCCGCGAUUCUCUUUUAUUGUGAUGGAAAAGGCUGCAAGAAACAAGAUUAGGAUUUCACUACGGCGGAGGAGCUAUUGCUGGUUUCUUUGGCUUUUUAAAACUCCUUAACAUAUUUCAUGUAUGUCUUCACCUACCAUUAUUCCUUUAAGACAUUGAAAGUGAGAUUACAGAGAAAAUAGUGAGUAGGAUUACUGCUUUCGCUAUGAAUUUAAUUAAUUAAUUAUUGUGAUUCAUUUGAAAAUGAAGUUGAUUUGCAGAGAUUCAAUGAAGGGUGUUUUAUAGAGCUUCUAGUUUGGAUACUACUUAUAUUGAUAACUCAUCAGGUGGGUUUAGUAAAAUUAUGGGCUAAGCACAACAUCUAGAAGGAGGAGGAUGGAAGAACUUUGGUAGAUUACAACAUCUAGAAAGAGUCUGAUCUACACCUUGUCUUGCGACUUCGUGGUGGAUGUUAAGCUGUGAUUUUAGUCAUUUGGAUUUUGUAUGUGUUUUCAUGGCAUGAUGGUUGUUUGUGUUGCUGGCCAUCAUUUGAAAAAUUGAGCUCUUUCUAAUCUACUACUAUGUUUUCAGCUAUGUUUUUAUUUUCGGGAUACUGAAAUGGCCUUCAUGGUUCUGUUAAUGACAUUUUUGAUUCAGUUUUAAUAAAUGUUGUAUUUAUGCUCUA